UGCGUAGGCGGAUAGGAAAGUCAGAUGUGAAAUUCCAGUACUCAAUACUGGAGCUGCAUUUGAAACUCCCUUUCUGGAGGAUAGACGGAGAGAACGGAAUUCCAUGUGUAGCGGUGAAAUGCGUAGAUAUAUGGAAGAACACCUGUGGCGUAAGCGGUUCUCUAGUUUAUUCUGACGCUGAGGCACGAGAGUGUGGGGAGCAAACA
rnacentral:rRNA from 1 species